rnacentral:tRNA from 1 species
AUUAAUUUAAUAUAUUUAUAGAAUACAUAUAUUAUUUAUAAAUAAUAAAUAAAUAAAGCAUUAGUAGCUUAAUUGGUU